GACGAACGCUGGCGGCGUGCUUAACACAUGCGAGUCGAACGAAGUGGCGCACGGGUGAGUAACGCGUAAUCAACCUGCCCUUCAGAGGGGGACAACAGUUGAAAACGACUCCUAAUACCGCAUACUGAAGGAGGGGAUUGCGUCUGAUUCGCUCGUGGGAGGGGUAACGGCCCACCAAGGCGAUGAUCAGUCGCCGGUCUAGGAGGAUGAACGGCCACAUUGGGACUGAGACACGGCCCAGACUCCUACGGGAGGCAGCAGUGGGGAAUCUUCCGCAAUGGACGAAAGUCUGACGGAGCAACGCCGCGUGAUUGAUGACGGCCGUCGGGUUGUAAAGCUCUGUUAAUCGGGACGCGGUACCGGAAUAGAAAGCCACGGCGAACUACGUGCCAGCAGCCGCGGUAAUAC
rnacentral:rRNA from 1 species